AUGGCCUCGUACUCAUCUUCCUCGGCGUGGAGUACCAGUUCCUGGUGUGGGACCCCGUCACCGGCGUCCGCCACUUCAUCGACCCCCCUCCAGGCUCCAGCACGGGCUCUGUCUGCACGGGUCAACGGAGCGGUGCUUCGAGAUGCGAGAGUCGACGACGACUUCAAGGUUGUCCUGGUGGCCGUUGAGGGUUCACGAGCAAUCGCCUGCGUCUACUCGUCCAAGACCCGUGAUUGGGGUAAUCUCGUCUCAACCAUGCUUCCACCCAAGGGUUUUAUGGGCAGCCCUCCUGCCAUGAAUUUUUCGAAGAUGCACUCUCUGCUUGUUGGGGAUUCCCUUUACUGGCUUCUCUCUGACAGGCCGACGAGCCUAACUGAGGCCUUCAGCCACGCUCCUUGCCUUGAGUUUGAUGUGGAGAGGCAGAGCCUAACCGUGGGACGUGUGUCAGGAGACCUGAACUACACCAAAGACCAUGAGAUCUCUCUUAUAACUGAAAAGGGUGGUGGACUUGGUUUACUCACGUUGUCAGGCUGCAAUGCACACUUCUGGAGAAGAAACAGUGAGCAUGAUGGUGAUUCUUCAUGGGUGCUUGGAAGAACUAUCGAACUAGACAAUCUUCUCUCCUUGAAUCCACAGAAGGAGGCGGGGCGCAUAUUCAUAGAAGGGUUUGCUGAGUAUAAUCAUGUGGCGGUCUUGUCUACUCCUUCCUCCCUCUACACGGUCCAGUUUCAGCCAUUGGAGGUCAAGAAACUUCACAAUGUAGGUUCUCAAUAUCAUGCAUUCGAAAGUGUCUGCACUGCAGGUAAUGGCGGGCGGCCUGAUGCAGCUGAUGUUGCACAAAACGCUUAA
rnacentral:rRNA from 1 species